rnacentral:lncRNA from 1 species
GGGUUUUUGUGACAUUAUAUGCUAGCUUGAAAAAUGGGUGUCUGAUUAUUUCUGGCUGGGUACUCUGCUGACAUAAUCUAAUGUUUUGCUUUUGUUGUAAAGCCUUUUUGAAAUCGGACAGUGUGGUUAGAUUAACGAGAGUCUUGUCUUUAAAAUGCUGUAAAAUAGUCAUAUGUUUGAGAAAUUGAAGUAAUAGCAUUUCUAAGGUAUUUGAAAAUCGCGCCACUGGAUUACACUGGCUGUUGCGUAGGUGGGACGAAUUCGUCCCGCCUAGCCCAGAGAGGUUAAGUUAAAAUAAGUGUUCAUUCAGUAUUGUUGUAAUUGUCAUUAUUACAAAAAAAAACUAAAAAACGGCCGAUUAAUCGGUAUCGGCUUUUUUUUGGCCCACCAAUAAUCGGUAUCGUCGUUGAAAAAUCAUAAAAUCGGUCGACCUCUAAUAUAUAUGGGAGAAAACAAAUCUAGGCCUACAGUAGUUUAUUGGCGAAGUAUUGAAAUCAUGGAAGUAUAAUGAUUAUUGUAAUUCAAUAGUUGGAAUAUAGAGGGCAUCACUUUGAAUACAUUGUUAUUUGACAUAAAUUAAUAAGCGAGGGAGGAAUUAUUUUUACAGGAUAGAUAAGAACGUGUUGGUCAGUGUUUCCUAGAGGACCCUAUACAAUGUUACAUUAUGUGUGUAUUCUCUUACAUCAUGUAGCUAGCUAGAAAUCAUGCUUUGCCUAAAGAUGGGUUAGCUGAUGUCACGAAAACGAUCCGCACGCUUCAAAUGGGACAGAAGUUUGAGUUGUUGUGAUUCUGGAUAGCCAGAUAGCUACCAACAAUACAAGAAACUGUCAUGUGGGGAAUCGUAAGGGACUUGUUUCAGUUAGUAUAAUAUUUUUCUUGAUAGAAAUGUCUUGAGGUGUUUUGACCGAUUUCAUGUCAAUGCUAAUAUGGAGAAAAUUCACUAGCUAGCUAACCAACAACUGUAACAAUGUAUUUGAGAGACAAGUGCUCAUUGAGCAAAUGUAUUUGUUUUCAAUAAACAUUGAAGAAAUAUAGUUUACAUGUCAACAACUAAACAAAUGUUUUACUUCACAGUUGCGCAUGCAUCGGUUGUGUUGCUAAACAACCAGCCCGUCUAUUCCUCUCUGAUUUAGAAACAUACUGAUCUAGGCCUGCAUCAGCAAUGGUAUCAAUCAGGCUGCAUUAUUGGCUAGCUACGUUUGCGCUGAUUGAUUACGUUUGGAUAACUAGUUAGCGAUUAGCAUUAGUGGCGAACAUGAUUUAUUUUAGCCCCCACUUGCUAAGAAAAGGCAAACUAGAUGUUUGCAGACUAAGAUACACAAACUAAUAGUGUAAUUACAGAAUGCUUAGAAAGCAGCAUCGAGGAGAGGGACAACUUGCAAGCAAACGGAGUAAACAAAAAAAUUUCACACGCCAGAGUUGCAUAUCACAUUUAACAAACCAAAGACUGAAAUACAGUUUUAGAAGGUAAAGUUAAAACGCAAACUGGUCCUUGCAUCAAUACGGAACCCAGUAAAAUAUGCUAUACCGCCCAGCCCUAAGUAAGACAGAGCAAGGAUAUCUGUUUUGGUACUACUUACCCUUCAUUGAACCAGUCUGUGUCCGAGUGUCCAUGGGUUCUUGUCCAUCUUUGAAGUUGAACGACUCUGGCAGCACACUGAACCUCAGAACACUGUUCUCCUCAAGAGGCAAAAGAGCAGGGCUCCUGAUCUUAUUUGUACUUUUUUCCACUGUAUCAGGUUUGCUGGAUGGCACCGCCUUGAUCCUAGAUUUCUUCAGUCUGAGUUUCAGGCCAUUUAAGAUUCUCUCUCUUUCAAUGUGCCGCAAAGUCCGCUUGGCCCUUAUGGUUCUUUCUGGUGUGGCUCGUCUUUCAGAGGAUAAUGCAUUACCAUCUGUCCUGGUCGAGGUAACAGUCUUUUUGGCAAAUUCAGCACAAACAAUCUUCGGAGCAAACCCUCUUCUGCUUCGUAGUCUUGAUGCUCUGCCCCUGGACUUUGUCUUCUUUGUCGGCACAAAACUGUUCUCCCACUCGUUGAAGAGCCGUUGUCUGACUGGGCUUUCCACUGGCGGGCUGGUCUCGGAGGGCUCUAUCUUCCAGGACUUGACAUUCACACUGAGGGUUAGAGGAGGUGCUGGAGCUUUGUCUGCAAAAGGUCUAGGUCGAGAAGAAUUAUGGUCCUUGCGUUGGCCAGUUACUACAGUCCCAUUUGUCCUCUGGGGCGAGGAACCAAACAAGGCCAGACUUACUGUGGUGACCCUUGAAAUCUUAGUCCUAAUUCCAGGUUCUGCUGGCUUCUGGAGAUUGCGACCGUUUGAAGGCCGCUCUACUUCCAAAGAGUUAGAAGUACUUGUAUUGGGUGGCUCGAAAUCGUCAUCUGUGUCAGUCAAGUUGACCUCAGGAACAAGUUGAAUGAAGGGACCCAAACCUUCCCUUAUUUUCCUUCGCUUUCUUGGGACAGACAAUUUUGAAUGAGGACCUUCAACACAUCUCUUGUGUCCAACCCCUUUAUGUUUAACCUUGUAGGUACGAUUUAUUUUAGGAGAUAGAUGCUUGUGACAUCUUUGUGCCAAGGAGAGUGAUGUUAGAAAACUGAUUUUCUCUGCUGGUUGGCGUAGCAGAUUAGAAGUAGGAAUGUGAACUGUAGGAAUGACUUCACUACCCCCAAGGUUUCUUUCUUCCAAAGUGACACUAAGUGCUUGUACACGUUCCAUUUGUUUCUGGAGUGGACCUGGUAGUUUCUGCUUUGGCUGUACAUUGUCGCACACUAGCUUGGACAUUGGGGUGGAUACCUUGAGAAAGUCUUCAUAGCUCGAGAAGACAUCUUCAAUUUCAACUUCAACAAUGUUUGGGCACUUGAUGGGCAGGCACAGUGAGUGGGGUUUUGACAAUGGCAAGCUCUUCGCCCCAUUAGUGUAUGGGCGAUCAGUCUCAGAUUCACUAUCAGACAAGACAAUAGUUUGGCAUUCAAUGCCUGUAGAUUUCCAUGAUUGGGGAUUCCCAUUCCCUUCCCUCUUUCCUUCUGCUGUGCCAUUGGAUUUACAUAAAUGCAGGCUUUCCCUUUGUUCUGCAUUUGUUGUGCUCGGUUCAACAGCCAAAGUUCCCUCGACAAACAUCUUUGCAUUCACAGUGGCCUUUGUCAAACCCAAUUCAGUAUUGUACUGGCAUUUGCAGGACAAAGAAUUGGUGGACCCACUGAACACUGCCUUCCAACGUGAGAGACAACAGUAAUCUUCCGAUUGGACAUCCACUUCGUAUUUUACAGUUGUCAACUUUACAUCUACUCCCUCAGAUGAUUUAUCCUCCACGGAGUAAUCUUUCAACUCAUUCAGCUCCACAUCCACUGGCAAUUUCAACUGGUCUUCUCCCACUUUGUCUUGCAGUAGCUGGCCAUUGAAAAACCGCAUAGCCUCUUCUGGUGGCAGCACGUUGAUCUCCAGGGAGGAAAAUGGGUCACAAAAAAUGAUGCUUUCACUUUCUUUAACUGGUGAGAGGGUCUGUGUAGAGCUGUGUGCCAAACUUGACCCUUGGAUUUCUUUAGGAUCAGAUUCAGAGGGUGCUGGUCUCUCUGUCUGAAUCACCUCAGUCUGCAUGUCACAGACAGAGUCUGCAGAAUCUUCAUUUCCGGUAAAAUUCCGUUUUGGUUGUUCAACUCCUCUUUGAAGAGUCUGUUGGUCAUAUCUUAGUGACCAUGGGAAUCCAAACUCCCUGUCUAUGUCAUCAAGCUGCUUAUUGGUGUUCAACCAUGAGGACUCUUGACCUGGGACCUCGGGGUAAACAGAAUCAUGUUUAAGAAUGACACAUUUCUCUUCAACUUGAGCCCAGUUUUUGCGCCUGACUUGUGAAAAUAUGACAGACUGUGAUGACAUAUCUUUGCCACACACAGAUCUAACCUCUCGCAUUAUAUUCUGUAAAAUACCAGAUCUUGCAGCAUCCAUAAGCUUCUGCCCAUCUCCAUCCCAAUAGAGGCUUAGUAGCUUGCUUUCAACCAGUGUCUCAGAGCAUUUUGGAUGUUGCACAGUGUCUACCAACUCCUUCAAUUUACCAAGUCUCCAUUUGACUACAGGAACUGAGGACAAUUCAAAAAUGUCCUCAUCUGAAACUACUUCUUCAUUUGUUUCCUCACUCAAUUGGUUAACAUGCACAUGAGUGGUCAUUUCUGUGCCCGCUAACUCUUUCCUCUGAGUGGCUUGACAUUUCAAAUUAGAUAAUGGUUGAGAAUCCACUUUCUCUACAUGUAAGCAGUUUGAUAGUGACCAUUCAGACUCAAAAUAUGAAUAUGUCUUGGCCAGUUCAACAUCGGAAGUUUCUGAAUCCUGAGUCAGUGUUUUUUCAGCACCUGCUUCUAAUGUAGCUUCUGGUCUGACCUUGGGGAGCUUUUGUCCAGAUUCAUUUGUCAAAGAAGCAGAUACAGUAAGGGUUGUUUGGGUUUGUGAUGGACUUUGGUCACAAGAUUCUUCCCCAGGGUUGCUCACAUUUUCACCACCAGUUGAGAAUGACAUACCUUGGGUAGUCAAGGGCAUUCUAUCAGCCACGUUGAGUGAUGCGUUUGUCUGCAUAGACUGCGACAGUGGUUGUACAACGGCGAUGGCCUUCUGCACCGUAGGAACAGAGGGGGCAUUACUUGCAGAUGAUCCUUGCCGUACCAGAGCACUUUCAUUAGGUUUAUCUCCUAUCAAAAUAACAUUUUCUGCUCUAAAUCCUUUUCCACUUUUGUCCUCUGUUACCGUUACGUAAUAGCCCUGUCUUAUGGGGUAUGACGGAGGCACAGACUCACAGUUUUGCUGGCCUGAAAACGGCAUACCAUGGUUUAGCACAGAUGAAGAUGGUCCAGUGUUGGAUAUCAGAAAAUGUUUUGGCUUGUUACGUAGGGUAUGGGCUGAGCCUUGGUUUGGUAUGUAUUGCAGAGAAUGUGCUCCUGACCCAACCACAUGUCCCGUCUUGUUCAGCACGGGUCCAUGGGAGUGCUGGCCUGGGUAUGGUGGAGGAGCGGACUCACGGGUGUGCUUGACUGAAGACUGUAUACUAUUGUUUGACACAGAUGACGAUGGUCCAGUGUUGGAUACCAGAAAAUAUGUGCCGUCUGCCUUGUAAUGUAGGUUAGAUACGCCUUCGAAAUGGGGCCUAGGAUAUGGGGCAUGGUGUGCAUUAUUUUCAAUGGCCCCUGUCUGACUGUUCAUAUUUGCACAAUUUGACGCAAGUCUGUUCUGUUGUGGUGGGUUGGUAAGGCCUGCAGGGCGAUAUCUUUGAAAAUUAUUAAGAAAAGGGUUAUGCAUUACAUUGUAUUGAGGAUUCUGGCUAAUGUUAUGUAUUGGCAUUGACUGCCCCACUGUAGCAUUUGAUAGAUUGACCUGGUUGUUGCUGUCCGUGAGAGGUUGGAAGGGAUACAUUUGACUGUGGUUUGAUGGGUCAGUUUGGACAGGUGUGCCAUGUUGAACCCUGUUCAUCUCAGUCCUGUUGUUAUUGUUUUGAUUUAGAACCAAAUACAACAAUUGUUUAUAUGCUGUGGGAGACAGUGGAGAUGUCUUUGAUGGCACGCUACUUGUCUCCUGUGCACUUUGCAAAGAGUUUGGUGAUUGUGGAUACCCCUGAUGAGGCGCUUGAACUGCCAUCCUACUUGAAUCCUUUCCACUUGCUACAGUCCAUUGAUGAUUGACAUGAUUGGGACUCCUACCCAUGCCAAGAGCAGCAGAGGUACCACUGGAGGCCCCCUCUUGUCUGCCAAGUACCAGCUGCUGACUGCCACUUGCUGGGCUUUGGAGAUAAAUACAAUUUGUAUUCAGUGAUGCAUUAAUAUCAGAGGGGCAGUGAAUGGUUGCACUCUCACCAUCCUGUACCAACCUCUGUGAAUUGUUACUAUUACCACCCAAAGACCCAUGUCCCUGCUGAAAAGUGGGUUGAAAUGCAUCGUUAACCCUUCCGGGCAGGGUGUGAUGGUAUCCACUUUGUGAUGUAACACCAGUUGAUUGUGCAGCCGCAUUGUUAGUCAAGAGUGAUGUCAAAAGGGGACUAGUGGCCAUUAGGGCCUGCUCUUUUGUGGGUGCCUGUUUAUUCUGGGUCUGUCCACUCCAGUAACCUACACUGGUUACUUGGCUGCAUUGUGGUAGACAUUCACCACCUUGAGUAUAUGGGACCGCUGGUCCGACUUCCCUACCUAGUGUAUACGCCACAGAUGGUCUGACCGGCCCAUAUUGAUGAGAAUAGGUGCUUGGAUUCCCACUCAGCUGACCACUGGUGACUUGGGGACUUGAGGAUUGUCCAGUGACUGAUCGAUCCGGUCCACUUUGGGGCCAGGUAGAGGUCUGCAUUCUCCUUGGCUUCUCAGUCUCGCCUUCUGCCCUGUGGUAUGGCAGAACGUAACCAUUUCUGAAAUGAGAAACAUGUUAAACCAGGAUUAGCCCAACAAAACGCACAGUAACAAAUGUAGCUUGAAUCCAAUGGUAAAAAUCUAGGGUAUGGCAAUCUGGUGCCAGAAAGCCAUCAUAUUCUUUGAAAGCAUAGAAGUGAUCGGUAGGCUAGCUGAUAUUCUUUCACCACUGAUCUAAACUGAGGUGGGCCGCUCAACUGGAGAUACCCAAGAUGUGGGCACACUGCAUCAGCGCUACACCCAUGACUUAGGGUACGCAACAGAUAAACUCAUACACACAUCGGAGGUUGAGGGGUCUGGAACGGUACAUUGAGAAUGUACAGAUGGGAACUGAAGACAAAAAUGAUCAGAUAUAAGUGGACUCAAGGUAAUGGAGGAGACUUGAGUCCAGUAGAAGUACAAGCGGUCAC